rnacentral:tRNA from 1 species
UUGACGCAAUGGACAGCGCGAUGGACUUCUAAUCCAAAGGUCGUGGGUUCGAAUCCUACCUAG